rnacentral:rRNA from 1 species
GGCUCAGGAUGAACGCUGGCGGCGUGCUUAACACAUGCAAGUCGAACGGGGAUGCUGACGGAAGGGGUGCUUGCACUCUGGAAGUAAGGAUCUUAGUGGCGGACGGGUGAGUAACGCGUGGGUAACCUGCCCCAUACCGGGGGAUACCACCUGGAAACAGGUGCUAAUACCGCAUAAGCGCACGGGAGCGCAUGCUCCUGUGUGAAAAACUCCGGUGGUAUGGGAUGGACCCGCGUCUGAUUAGCCAGUUGGCAGGGUAACGGCCUACCAAAGCGACGAUCAGUAGCCGGCCUGAGAGGGUGGACGGCCACAUUGGGACUGAGACACGGCCCAAACUCCUACGGGAGGCAGCAGUGGGGAAUAUUGCACAAUGGGGGAAACCCUGAUGCAGCGACGCCGCGUGAGUGAAGAAGUAUUUCGGUAUGUUAAGCUCUAUCAGCAGGAACGAGACAAGACGGUACCUGACUAAGAAGCCCCGGCUAACUACGUGCCAGCAGCCGCGGUAAUACGUAGGGGGCAAGCGUUAUCCGGAAUCACUGGGUGUAAAGGGAGCGUAGACGGCUGAGCAAGCCUGAAGUGAAAGGCGGGGGCCCAACCCCCGGACUGCUUUGGGAACUGUACGGCUGGAGUGCAGGAGAGGUAAGUGGAAUUCCUAGUGUAGCGGUGAAAUGCGUAGAUAUUAGGAGGAACACCAGUGGCGAAGGCGGCUUACUGGACUGUAACUGACGUUGAGGCUCGAAAGCGUGGGGAGCAAACAGGAUUAGAUACCCUGGUAGUCCACGCCGUAAAC